UGCAAGUCGAACGGUAACAUUUCUAGCUUGCUAGAAGAUGACGAGUGGCGGACGGGUGAGUAAUGCUUGGGAACUUGCCUUUGCGAGGGGGAUAACAGUUGGAAACGACUGCUAAUACCGCAUAAUGUCUACGGACCAAACGGGGCUUAGGCUCCGGCGCAAAGAGAGGCCCAAGUGAGAUUAGCUAGUUGGUAAGGUAAAGGCUUACCAAGGCGACGAUUUCUAGCUGUUCUGAGAGGAAGAUCAGCCACACUGGGACUGAGACACGGCCCAGACUCCUACGGGAGGCAGCAGUGGGGAAUAUUGCACAAUGGGGGAAACCCUGAUGCAGCCAUGCCGCGUGUGUGAAGAAGGCCUUCGGGUUGUAAAGCACCUUCAGUUGUGAGGAAAAGUUAGUAGUUAAUACCUGCUAGCCGUGACGUUNACAACAGAAGAAGCACCGGCUAACUCCGUGCCAGCAGCCGCGGUAAUACGGAGGGUGCGAGCGUUAAUCGGAAUUACUGGGCGUAAAGCGCACGCAGGCGGUUUGUUAAGCUAGAUGUGAAAGCCCCGGGCUCAACCUGGGAUGGUCAUUUAGAACUGGCAGACU
rnacentral:rRNA from 1 species